rnacentral:tRNA from 1 species
GGGCGUAUAGCUCAGCGGUAGAGCACUACCUUGACACGGUAGGGGUCCCAGGUUCAAACCCCGGUGCGCCCA